GGACGAACGGCUGGCGGCGUGCCUAACACAUGCAAGUCGAGCGAGGAGAUUCCUUCGGGAUGAUCCUAGCGGCGGACGGGUGAGUAACACGUGGGCAACCUGCCUCAUAGAGAGGAAUAGCCUUCCGAAAGGGAGAUUAAUACCUCAUAACAUUGCAGUUUCGCAUGGAACAGCAAUUAAAGGAGUAAUCCGCUAUGAGAUGGGCCCGCGGCGCAUUAGCUAGUUGGUGAGGUAACGGCUCACCAAGGCGACGAUGCGUAGCCGACCUGAGAGGGUGAUCGGCCACAUUGGGACUGAGACACGGCCCAGACUCCUACGGGAGGCAGCAGUGGGGAAUAUUGCACAAUGGGGGAAACCCUGAUGCCAGCAACGCCGCGUGAGUGAUGACGGCCUUCGGGUUGUAAAGCUCUGUCUUCAGGGACGAUAAUGACGGUACCUGAGGAGGAAGCCACGGCUAACUACGUGCCAGCCGCCGC
rnacentral:rRNA from 1 species